rnacentral:rRNA from 1 species
ACGGUGAGUAACACGUAUGCAAUCCACCUGUAACAGGGGGAGUAACCCGGAGAAAUCCGACUAAUACCCAUAAUAUGGGCGCUCCGCAUGGAGAGUCCAUUAAAGAGAGCAAUCUUGGUUACAGACGAGCAUGCGCUCCAUUAGCCAGUUGGCGGGGUAACGGCCCACCAAGGCGACGAUGGAUAGGGGUUCUGAGAGGAAGGUCCCCCACAUUGGAACUGAGACACGGUCCAA